rnacentral:rRNA from 1 species
GAUGAACGCUGGCGGCGUGCCUAAUACAUGCAAGUCGAGCGAACGGACGAGAAGCUUGCUUCUCUGAUGUUAGCGGCGGACGGGUGAGUAACACGUGGAUAACCUACCUAUAAGACUGGGAUAACUUCGGGAAACCGGAGCUAAUACCGGAUAAUAUUUUGAACCGCAUGGUUCAAAAGUGAAAGACGGUCUUGCUGUCACUUAUAGAUGGAUCCGCGCUGCAUUAGCUAGUUGGUAAGGUAACGGCUUACCAAGGCAACGAUGCAUAGCCGACCUGAGAGGGUGAUCGGCCACACUGGAACUGAGACACGGUCCAGACUCCUACGGGAGGCAGCAGUAGGGAAUCUUCCGCAAUGGGCGAAAGCCUGACGGAGCAACGCCGCGUGAGUGAUGAAGGUCUUCGGAUCGUAAAACUCUGUUAUUAGGGAAGAACAUAUGUGUAAGUAACUGUGCACAUCUUGACGGUACCUAAUCAGAAAGCCACGGCUAACUACGUGCCAGCAGCCGCGGUAAUACGUAGGUGGCAAGCGUUAUCCGGAAUUAUUGGGCGUAAAGCGCGCGUAGGCGGUUUUUUAAGUCUGAUGUGAAAGCCCACGGCUCAACCGUGGAGGGUCAUUGGAAACUGGAAAACUUGAGUGCAGGAGAGGAAAGUGGAAUUCCAUGUGUAGCGGUGAAAUGCGCAGAGAUAUGGAGGAACACCAGUGGCGAAGGCGACUUUCUGGUCUGUAACUGACGCUGAUGUGCGAAAGCGUGGGGAUCAAACAGGAUUAGAUACCCUGGUAGUCCACGCCGUAAACGAUGAGUGCUAAGUGUUAGGGGGUUUCCGCCCCUUAGUGCUGCAGCUAACGCAUUAAGCACUCCGCCUGGGGAGUACGACCGCAAGGUUGAAACUCAAAGGAAUUGACGGGGACCCGCACAAGCGGUGGAGCAUGUGGUUUAAUUCGAAGCAACGCGAAGAACCUUACCAAAUCUUGACAUCCUUUGACAACUCUAGAGAUAGAGCUUUCCCCUUCGGGGGACAAAGUGACAGGUGGUGCAUGGUUGUCGUCAGCUCGUGUCGUGAGAUGUUGGGUUAAGUCCCGCAACGAGCGCAACCCUUAAGCUUAGUUGCCAUCAUUAAGUUGGGCACUCUAAGUUGACUGCCGGUGACAAACCGGAGGAAGGUGGGGAUGACGUCAAAUCAUCAUGCCCCUUAUGAUUUGGGCUACACACGUGCUACAAUGGACAAUACAAAGGGCAGCGAAACCGCGAGGUCAAGCAAAUCCCAUAAAGUUGUUCUCAGUUCGGAUUGUAGUCUGCAACUCGACUACAUGAAGCUGGAAUCGCUAGUAAUCGUAGAUCAGCAUGCUACGGUGAAUACGUUCCCGGGUCU